GCUCUGGGACGAGAGUGGAGUCCCCUGCCGUCCCUCGGUACUUCUGCAGAGACGCUCCCCGGCCACCCUUUCCAAAGCGAAUGUUUGAGGCGUCACACACUUGAACUUCACAGCACCCCAGCUAUUCCCUUAUGGCGUCAGACAUGAGGUAAGGAUGUAAUGUUCCAUUUCUUUGUUCCAUGACAGUCUCCCCAACCGGAACUUGAGCUCCAAGAGGGUGGUAACCACUCCUUGUUCUUACCUGAGCCCCUACUGCCCAGACCGGGAGGAAUUCAGGUAGAAGCUAUGUGUCCUUCCCAUCCCCCCAAAAUUUGUGUGUAUAUAUCUCGGACUUACCAUGAUCAAGGACACCAUUAAGCCCUGAGCACCUUCCAGGCCUAGAAAGCAACCUGUGUGGGUAGCAAGGUCUUUCUAAUGGAAACGGUCCGGCAGGGGUGGGGACAACAGAUGCCGGGGACGAGGAGACCAGGGCUCAGUGGAGGUGCUUGGACGUUGUGCAAUCCUACCCACAUCCUCCGUACCUGUCUGGAAGUGUCAACUAGGUAGGCGGUUGAAUGUUCCAGAACGUAACUCAGGGAAGGUGUGGAGCUGCAGACAGAAAUGGGGAGUCACAUGGACGUCGUGUAGCUGGUUGGUAAAGUCUUGGAGCCGGGGGAGGUCAUCUAGGGAGAGGAUAUGGCCCCCAAUCGCAGGUGAGGAAGUUUGGCAUUUUUUGAGCUGUAGGAACCACACCACGUGGUCAGCCACCCAGAACAUCCUUUUCCUUGGUGAGGAGUAGGAUUCCAUAGAAGGAGCUCAGAAUCUGUUAAGACUCAGAUUCCUCUUAUCUCUGUCCCCACCAGCUAUACCGCUGGGGCUGGGCGGGAGGUGACCUCUCCCAGUGUACACCCCUCCCCCCUGUAAAAUUGCCAUGGGCAAUAAGGGCAAUAAAACCCACAGUCCCCUAGUGCCCUUGAGCCUGGGUUUGGGAGAACAAUGCUUUAAAGGGAGAGGCCCAGAGGCAGAGGGAGGAGAGUUCUAAGGAAACAAUGGGCCAGGUUCCAAGGAAUCGGGAGAGGCACUGUGAGUUGGGAAGAUUCCAGACCCUCUGAUGAGGUCACAGGGUCGUCCCUCCGUGGAGAAGGUGGCUCGCAGAUCAGCUUCACUUGAAUGUCCGAGGCAAGCAGGUCCAGAAAAAGGCCCACCGAAAAGUGACCUAUCCGAGCCUGGAGCUUCUCUGCUUCGGCGACAGUUCGGGACCCAGGUGGGGACCGUGUCCGUCUGCAUGUCUGCCCUGAGCGGAUGGGACUCCCAGCCCCGUUCUCCGUGCUUUGUCCACCAAGGACAACCACCCGGAGAGAAAGAGCUCCAACCCCCCACUUGGCCUUUUCUUCUCUAUAAGACGACAGCCCCAGGCAGGAGGGACCCCGUGAGGCCCUCCUACCCACCGUGGACGCCCCCUGCCAUACUCAGGUUUGCGACAGAGUGGGGUGAAUCAGUACCGGCCACAUGAAUCAGUAAAUGAAUGGGGGGCAUCAACCCCGUUUCUCUCUCCUGCUCUGCCCUCCCUCCCCUCCGCGUCUGGAAGCCACUGGGGGCCCAGUCCCCCCACUGCCUCUCCCUGUGGGUAGGCCACAACCAGGUAGGUGCUUCUGACCCAGCAUCCCUCGGGGUUCAGGGCUGUCGGGCUGAGCAGAGUCAGGGGCAUCUCCUCAGUUCAAGGCCACACUCUGUGCACAGGAACCCAGACCCCCACUUCCUCUGCUGAGGGUCCUCAAAGAUUCUGGCCCUAUAGCCUCUCCCAGCUGCCAGCCACCUCCCCACAAAAACGCAGCUUUGCCCCAUAAUGUGGGGCCUGGAGAACUGAAAGCAGGACAAUAACAAAAUUCUCGGACCCAGGCACAAUUACCUCCCUUAACCCUCACCACAACCCUGUGAGGCGUGUACUGUUACU